UACGAAGGGGGCUAGCGUUGCUCGGAAUCACUGGGCGUAAAGGGUGCGUAGGCGGGUCUUUAAGUCAGGGGUGAAAUCCUGGAGCUCAACUCCAGAACUGCCUUUGAUACUGAGAUCUUGAGUUCGGGAGAGGUGAGUGGAACUGCGAGUGUAGAGGUGAAAUUCGUAGAUAUUCGCAGGAACACCAGUGGCGAAGGCGGCUCACUGGCCCGAUACUGACGCUGAGGCACGAAAGCGUGGGGAGCAAACAGG
rnacentral:rRNA from 1 species